GUGGGGAAUAUUGGGCAAUGGGGGAAACCCUGACCCAGCAACGCCGCGUGAAGGAAGAAGGCUUUCGGGUUGUAAACUUCUUUUAUGAGGGACGAAGAAGUGACGGUACCUCAUGAAUAAGCCACGGCUAACUACGUGCCAGCAGCCGCGGUAAUACGUAGGUGGCAAGCGUUGUCCGGAUUUACUGGGUGUAAAGGGCGCGUAGGCGGGAUAGCAAGUCAGGUGUGAAAUCCGGGGGCUUAACCCUCGAACUGCACUUGAAACUGUUAUUCUGGAGUGAUGGAGAGGCAAGCGGCAUUCCUAGUGUAGCGGUGAAAUGCGUAGAUAUUAGGAGGAACACCAGUGGCGAAGGCGGCUUGUUGGACAUUAACUGACGCUGAGGCGCGAAAGCGUGGGGAGCAAACAGGAUUAGAAACCCUAGUAGUCC
rnacentral:rRNA from 1 species